UACGUAGGGUGCGAGCGUUGUCCGGAAUUACUGGGCGUAAAGAGCUCGUAGGUGGUUUGUCGCGUUGUUCGUGAAAACCGGGGGCUUAACCCUCGGCGUGCGGGCGAUACGGGCAGACUUGAGUACUGCAGGGGAGACUGGAAUUCCUGGUGUAGCGGUGGAAUGCGCAGAUAUCAGGAGGAACACCGGUGGCGAAGGCGGUUCUCUGGGCAUGUCCUGACGCUGAGGAGCGAAAGUGUGGGGAGCGAACAGG
rnacentral:rRNA from 1 species